AGCGAACGCUGGCGGCAGGCUUAACACAUGCAAGUCGAGCGGGCGUAGCAAUACGUCAGCGGCAGACGGGUGAGUAACGCGUGGGAACAUACCUUUUGGUUCGGAACAACACAGGGAAACUUGUGCUAAUACCGGAUAAGCCCUUACGGGGAAAGAUUUAUCGCCGAAAGAUUGGCCCGCGUCUGAUUAGCUAGUUGGUGAGGUAACGGCUCACCAAGGCGACGAUCAGUAGCUGGCUGAGAGGAUGAUCAGCCACAUUGGGACUGAGACACGGCCCAAAACUCCUACGGGAGGCAGCAGUGGGGAAUAUUGGACAAUGGGCGCAAGCCUGAUCCAGCCAUGCCGCGUGAGUGAUGAAGG
rnacentral:rRNA from 1 species